rnacentral:rRNA from 1 species
GUACACACCGCCCGUCACACCAUGGGAGUUGGYUUUACCCGAAGGUAGUGUGCUAACCGCAAGGAGGCAGCUAACCACGGUAGGGUCAGCGACUGGGGUGAAGUCGUAACAAGGUAGCCGUAGGUGAACCUGCAGAAGGAUCA